rnacentral:tRNA from 1 species
GGCUUGGUAGUCCAGUGGUAAGAUGCUUGCUUUGGGUUGACUUCUCUCUUGCAAGCGACCCCGGUUCGAUUCCGGGCCAAGCCC